GAGCGGAUGACGGGAGCUUGCUCCCUGAUUUAGCGGCGGACGGGUGAGUAAUGCCUAGGAAUCUGCCUGGUAGUGGGGGAUAACGUUCCGAAAGGAACGCUAAUACCGCAUACGUCCUACGGGAGAAAGCGGGGGACCUUCGGGCCUUGCGCUAUCAGAUGAGCCUAGGUCGGAUUAGCUAGUUGGUGAGGUAAUGGCUCACCAAGGCGACGAUCCGUAACUGGUCUGAGAGGAUGAUCAGUCACACUGGAACUGAGACACGGUCCAGACUCCUACGGGAGGCAGCAGUGGGGAAUAUUGGACAAUGGGCGAAAGCCUGAUCCAGCCAUGCCGCGUGUGUGAAGAAGGUCUUCGGAUUGUAAAGCACUUUAAGUUGGGAGGAAGGGCAGUAAGCUAAUACCUUGCUGUUUUGACGUUACCGACAGAAUAAGCACCGGCUAACUUCGUG
rnacentral:rRNA from 1 species